rnacentral:rRNA from 1 species
AUUGAACGCUGGCGGCAGGCCUAACACAUGCAAGUCGAGCGGAUGAAGGGAGCUUGCUCCUGGAUUCAGCGGCGGACGGGUGAGUAAUGCCUAGGAAUCUGCCUGGUAGUGGGGGAUAACGUCCGGACACGGGCGCUAAUACCGCAUACGGCCUGAGGGAGAAAGUGGGGGAUCUUCGGACCUCACGCUAUCAGAUGAGCCUAGGUCGGAUUAGCUAGUUGGUGGGGUAACGGCCUACCAAGGCGACGAUCCGUAACUGGUCUGAGAGGAUGAUCAGUCACACUGGAACUGAGACACGGUCCAGACUCCUACGGGAGGCCGCAGUGGGGAAUAUUGGACAAUGGGCGAAAGCCUGAUCCAGCCAUGCCGCGUGUGUGAAGAAGGUCUUCGGAUUGUAAAGCACUUUAAGUUGGGAGGAAGGGCAGUAAGUUAAUACCUUGCUGUUUUGACGUUACCAACAGAAUAAGCACCGGCUAACUUCGUG